rnacentral:rRNA from 1 species
GACGAACGCUGGCGGCGUGCUUAACACAUGCAAGUCGAACGGAAAGGCCCUGCUUUUGCGGGGUGCUCGAGUGGCGAACGGGUGAGUAACACGUGAGUAACCUGCCCUUGACUUUGGGAUAACUUCAGGAAACUGGGGCUAAUACCGGAUAGGAGCUCCUGCUGCAUGGUGGGGGUUGGAAAGUUUCGGCGGUUGGGGAUGGACUCGCGGCUUAUCAGCUUGUUGGUGGGGUAGUGGCUUACCAAGGCUUUGACGGGUAGCCGGCCUGAGAGGGUGACCGGCCACAUUGGGACUGAGAUACGGCCCAGACUCCUACGGGAGGCAGCAGUGGGGAAUAUUGCACAAUGAGCGGAAGCCUGAUGCAGCAACGCCGCGUGCGGGAUGACGGCCUUCGGGUUGUAAACCGCUUUCGCCUGUGACGAAGCGUGAGUGACGGUAAUGGGUAAAGAAGCACCGGCUAACUACGUG